GUGUUCGAUUGGGCAGCAAACAGACUGAAAUUGGAACAAUUCAUAGAAGAUUAGCAUGGACCCUGUGCAAGGAUGACAAGCAGAUUCAUGAAGGCUUCCAUAUUUUU
rnacentral:snRNA from 1 species